UCCUCCAGUCUCAGUGUCUCUGAUAGUGUUGAUCUCUUCUUCUGCUGCUGGAUCUCUGAUGAUCGUGACUGUUAUCAUGAUCUUCUGUAUGUGCAGGAAACACAAAGACACAGUUGAAGACGAGACUCUCGCUGAUCCAACACUCUACACACACACUGGACAAAUGAUGAAAUCUGAAAUGACGGAGGUGGUUUAUACAUGUUUCAUCACAGAUCAAUGAUCAAACUCUCUGUGAUUCUGUUUCUUUACAAAUUAUGUGAUGAUCAUCGUAUUGACAUUUGUGUUUUAUACUGUAUUACUCUUUCAAAUAAAAUAAAAUGUACAUUGGUUGAA